rnacentral:rRNA from 1 species
AGUGAACGCUGGCGGUAGGCCUAACACAUGCAAGUCGAACGGACCCUUCGGGGUUGGUGGCGGACGGGUGAGUAACACGUGGGAACGUGCCUUUAGGUUCGGAAUAGCUCCUGGAAACGGGUGGUAAUGCCGAAUGUGCCCUUCGGGGGAAAGAUUUAUCGCCUUUAGAGCGGCCCGCGUCUGAUUAGCUAGUUGGUGAGGUAAUGGCUCACCAAGGCGACGAUCAGUAGCUGGUCUGAGAGGAUGACCAGCCACACUGGGACUGAGACACGGCCCAGACUCCUACGGGAGGCAGCAGUGGGGAAUCUUGCGCAAUGGGCGAAAGCCUGACGCAGCCAUGCCGCGUGAAUGAUGAAGGUCUUAGGAUUGUAAAAUUCUUUCACCGGGGACGAUAAUGACGGUACCCGGAGAAGAAGCCCCGGCUAACUUCGUGCCAGCAGCCGCAGUAA